UACAGAGGUCCUAAGCGUUGUUCGGAUUCAUUGGGCGUAAAGGGUGCGUAGGCGGCGCGGUAAGUCGGGUGUGAAAUCUCGGGGCUUAACUCCGAAACUGCAUUCGAUACUGCCGUGCUUGAGGACUGGAGAGGAGACUGGAAUUUACGGUGUAGCAGUGAAAUGCGUAGAUAUCAGGAGGAACACCGGUGGCGAAGGCGGCUCUCUGGACGGUGACUGACGCUGAGACGCGAAAGCGUGGGGAGCAAACAGG
rnacentral:rRNA from 1 species